CAACCAAUCCAGCCUGGCUGGGUGUUGGGCGUCGCGGUCCGCCGCGCGCCUCAAAGUCUUCGGCGGAAGCCGCCCGUUCCUCUGCGUGAUGCAUCGUCGUCGCUCGGGACACGGGGGCGAGCGCCCGGAAAUCGUCGGCGGAGACGCCGACUUCAA
rnacentral:misc_RNA from 1 species